GAAUUCGUCUCGCUGCUGCAAUCUUUUCGAAUUAUCCGUGCAUACGUUGAGAAGCAUUGCUUUUUAACUGAAACAUAUGCACACAAUGUAUCUAAGUAAUUCACACGAAAAUAACUGAAAAAUUGUUACCAUUUAUAAAGUAUAAAAAUUUGAUAGAGUACUAAAUAUAUCUGGUUUGUGUACUUGAGUCGUCUAAUAUAAAAUCAUAACCUAAUAUAUAAUAUAAAACCUUAAUAAUUUAAUAUCUGAAAAAUUAUUCGUGAUUCAAUGUAUAAUAAUAUUAUUAUUCGUUUUUUAAUUAAUAAUUUAAGCGAGGAAGUAACUAUUUAUAAAAGAGGAAACAAAAGUUUUCAAGUCUCUUGAUAUAUGGUAAUAAUAAUACGAAUGUGAAGUGCAUUGUUUCCAGAAAUGAAAGAAAUAACAAGAUGUUGCUUGAGAUUAUAGUAAUAUUACAAUGCUAUUGUAAUUUCGUACGUAAUUUAUGAUUCCAAAAACAUUCAACGCUUUAUCUUUUGAUACAUUUUAUUGCCAAUUUACAUUUCAAAUUCCAAAUUAUAGUUAUAAAUUAAAUAUCAUCAAAUAAAUUUUCAAGUAAAUUCAUAUUAACUUUUAUUUAAAAAUAUGAAGAAUUUUUUGAAUUAUCUUUUUUAUUUAUAAAAAACUACGAAAUGAAAUUCAUAAACAUGAUGCAAUAAUUUAUUUUAAGAAAAAGAUAAGUUUCAAAUAUCAACAGUUCUAUAUUAUAUCAUAUUAGUCCAAAUAAAUAAAUCGAUGAAAAUUGGCAAUAAAAUAAAGUAUUUUAUAUAUUAUCUUUAUUUACAGAUUUCAUAGAAGAAUUUUUUUAUCUAGAUUAAUAAAAAGUUACCUAUGAGAAAUCUUCAAUAAUCGAAAUUAUUCAUUUUCUCAAGAAAUAGAAAUUUGACAUAUUUGAACACAGAUUUUUGAAUUUUCGUAUAUAAAAGAACAAAUUUUCAUUUGCAAAUAUUCUCUAUAUUUUAUAACACAAUUAUGCAUCAUAACUUCAAUCAAUGCAAAAUUCAUAUGAUAAUUAUCUCCUGCGAUUGAUAUAUCGUUAUUAUUAGAGAAAAGAAUAAUAGAAUAAUACGAAAUAUAAAUUAUAUAUUAGAUUUAAACAUACAAAAGUUUUAUAAGUUCUGAAGUAUUCAAAAAAUAAGAUUUCUUACACAAAAAAAUAAUUUUCUUCAAAUGAAAAUGAAAAAAAGAAAUGUUAAUUUUUUGAAUUGGGAUUUAAAAUUUGUUCACAAAUAAAACAGAAUAAAAAUUUUUAAAAUAUAAAAAUUCUAAGAAUACAUUAGAUUCGUACACACGAAUAAAAGGGUGUACGAAUAAUAAUGUGAAAUAAAAAGAUUGUUUGUCAUAA